GGAAGUAAAAGUCGUAACAAGGUCUCCGUUGGUGAACCAGCGGAGGGAUCAUUACCGAGUUAUACAACUCAUCAACCCUGUGAACAUACCUAAAACGUUGCUUCGGCGGGAACAGACGGCCCCGUAAAACGGGCCGCCCCCGCCAGAGGACCCCCUAACUCUGUUUCUAUUAUGUUUUUUCUGAGUAAAACAAGCAAAUAAAUUAAAACUUUCAACAACGGAUCUCUUGGCUCUGGCAUCGAUGAAGAACGCAGCGAAAUGCGAUAAGUAAUGUGAAUUGCAGAAUUCAGUGAAUAUCGAAUCUUUGAACGCACAUUGCGCCCGCCAGUAUUCUGGCGGGCAUGCCUGUUCGAGCGUCAUUACAACCCUCAGGCCCCCGGGCCUGGCGUUGGGGAUCGGCGAGGCGCCCCCUGCGGGCACACGCCGUCCCCCAAAUACAGUGGCGGUCCCGCCGCAGCUUCCAUUGCGUAGUAGCUAACACCUCGCAACUGGAGAGCGGCGCGGCCACGCCGUAAAACCCCCAACUUCUGAAUGUUGACCUCGAAUCAGGUAGGAAUACCCGCUGAACUUAAGCAUAUCAAUAAGCGGAGGAA
rnacentral:rRNA from 1 species